AGCCCUGCUCAGUAGCACAGCUCGGACCUUUGCGUGCUCCCUGGGGCUCCUCCCUGGGUGCUGCAGUGUUUUGACAGACGGUCCCUUGAGCUUGGCAGUGCCCUGUGAGGCUGGGACCUGGUCCAGGCUGGCCGGGGAAGAGAAGCAGGGACAGGAUGAGAGAGUGGGGAGUAAGAAGGGGAGGGAGGGGGUGCAGCUUCGGAGAUGGGCUUCACGGGAGGCCUCGUGUGAGCCUGUGUGAUGGGCAGGACCUCCUGACCUCCGCCUCAGAGUUCAACCAGAGAAGAGGA
rnacentral:lncRNA from 10 species